rnacentral:rRNA from 1 species
CUCGGUUAAUCCCGGUUUGUUCUGACGGUUCCCCAAAGAAUAAGCACCGGCUAUUUCGUGCCAGCAGCCGCGGUAAUACGAAGGGCGCAAGCGUUACUGGGAAUUACUGGGCGUAAAGCGUGCGUAGGUGGUUGUUUAAGUCUGUCGUGAAAGCCCUGGGCUCAACCUGGGAAUUGCGAUGGAAACUGGGCGACUAGAGUGUGGCAGAGGAUAGUGGAAUUCCUGGUGUAGCAGUGAAAUGCGUAGAGAUCAGGAGGAACAUCCGUGGCGAAGGCGACUGUCUGGGCCAACACUGACACUGAGCACGAAAGCGUGGAGCAAACAGGAUUAGAUACCCUGUAGUCCACGCCCUAAACGAUGCGAACUGGAUGUUGGGUGCAAUUUGGCACGCAGUAUCGAAGCUAACGCGUUAAGUUCGCCGCCUGGGGAGUACGGUCGCAAGACUGAAACUCAAAGGAAUUGACGGGGGCCCGCACAAGCGGUGGAGUAUGUGGUUUAAUUCGAUGCAACGCGAAGAACCUUACCUGGCCUUGACAUGCACGGAACUUUCCAGAGAUGGAUUGGUGCCUUCGGGAACCGUGACACAGGUGCUGCAUGGCUGUCGUCAGC